AUUGAACGCUGGCGGCAGGCCUAACACAUGCAAGUCGAGCGGAUGAAGGGAGCUUGCUCCUGGAUUCAGCGGCGGACGGGUGAGUAAUGCCUAGGAAUCUGCCUGGUAGUGGGGGAUAACGUCCGGAAACGGGCGCUAAUACCGCAUAUGUCCUGAGGGAGAAAGUGGGGGAUCUUCGGACCUCACGCUAUCAGAUGAGCCUAGGUCGGAUUAGCUAGUUGGUGGGGUAAAGGCCUACCAAGGCGACGAUCCGUAACUGGUCUGAGAGGAUGAUCAGUCACACUGGAACUGAGACACGGUCCAGACUCCUACGGGAGGCAGCAGUGGGGAAUAUUGGACAAUGGGCGAAAGCCUGAUCCAGCCAUGCCGCGUGUGUGAAGAAGGUCUUCGGAUUGUAAAGCACUUUAAGUUGGGAGGAAGGGCAGUAAGUUAAUACCUUGCUGCUUUGACGUUACCAACAGAAUAAGCACCGGCUAACUUCGUG
rnacentral:rRNA from 1 species